GCAAGUCGAGCGCUCACUUCGGUGGGAGCGGCGGACGGGUUAGUAACGCGUGGGAACGUACCCAGAUCUAAGGAAUAGCCACUGGAAACGGUGAGUAAUACCUUAUACGCCCUUCGGGGGAAAGAAUUUCGGUGAUGGAUCGGCCCGCGUUAGAUUAGAUAGUUGGUGGGGUAACGGCCUACCAAGUCUACGAUCUAUAGCUGGUUUGAGAGGAUGAUC
rnacentral:rRNA from 1 species